rnacentral:rRNA from 1 species
AUUGAACGCUGGCGGCAGGCUUAACACAUGCAAGUCGAGCGGGGUGAUGGUGCUUGCACUAUCACUUAGCGGCGGACGGGUGAGUAAUGCUUAGGAAUCUGCCUAUUAGUGGGGGACAACAUCUCGAAAGGGAUGCUAAUACCGCAUACGUCCUACGGGAGAAAGCAGGGGAUCACUUGUGACCUUGCGCUAAUAGAUGAGCCUAAGUCGGAUUAGCUAGUUGGUGGGGUAAAGGCCUACCAAGGCGACGAUCUGUAGCGGGUCUGAGAGGAUGAUCCGCCACGCUGGGACUGCGACGCGGCCCAGACUCCUACGGGGGGCAGCAGUGGUGAAUAUUGGACAAUGGGGGGAACCCUGAUCCAGCCAUGCCGCGUGUGUGAAGGAGGCCUUAUGGUUGUAAAGCACUUUAAGCGAGGAGGAGGCUCUUUUGGUUAAUACCCAAGAUGAGUGGACGUUACUCGCAGAAUAAGCACCGGCUAACUCUGUGCCAGCAGCCGCCGUAA